rnacentral:tRNA from 1 species
GGGGCGUUAGCUCAGUUGGUUAGAGCAGAGGACUCAUAAUCUUCUGGCGAUUUCGCCGGA